UACGUAGGGUGCAAGCGUUAAUCGGAAUUACUGGGCGUAAAGCGUGCGCAGGCGGCUAUGCAAGACAGAUGUGAAAUCCCCGGGCUCACCCUGGGAACUGCAUUGUGACUGCAUGCUGAGUGCGGAGAGGGGGAUGGAAUUCCGCGUGUAGCAGUGAAAUGCGUAGAUAUGCGGAGGAACACCGAUGGCGAAGGCAAUCCCCUGGGCCUGACCACUGACCGCUCAUCGCAC
rnacentral:rRNA from 1 species